CGGCGGGCCCAGCGCCCCCUGGCGGAGCGCGCUGUGGGAACGCGCCGGCCUGGGGAAACUGAGGCACAGGGAGGGCGUCACCCUCAGCAUCUUGAUAUUCCAGGGAAUUCUUGAGGGUGGAAGAGACCUCGGAGACCAUCGAGUCCAACAUAUGGCCGAGCACCGCUUUGUCGCUGAGCGCCACGUACAGAUCUUCCUUAAACAUCUCCAGGGAUGAGCUGGGAAAAAGGAGCUGCUUAGCCCAGACGGAGCAGCAAAUUCCCAAAUCCUGCCUGGAAAAGCCAUCAGUUCCUCCCAUGCCAGAGCAGGAUCAAGUGGUGCUUCCAGCAAGACUCCGGGUGAAGUUUUGGAUACUCUCAGGGCCGAAAUCUUCUGAUUUUGAAGCAAAUUGAAGUGGCCAAGCAGCACCUCCUGAGUUCCUCAGCUCCUGGUGAGUCUGGGCCUGCCCAAAAUCAACCUCUGUGGGAAGAGGGAGGAGGGAUUUGGGAUAUUUGGGAUGGAGGAGUGGGAAGGAGGCAGCAGCUGUGAGCUCUGGCUAUAAAAAGUCCUCUGGGGAGGGGGUGGUCUCGGCUUGAUUCCGUUCUAAAUCCAGCCUGGAGCUGAUAUCCCAGGAAGUUUCUCUCUCACACCACCAGUUCCAGCAAUUCCCUCUUUUCCUUCCCAUUUCCCCCCCAAAAAAACCCCAAAAUUUUGGGUUUGGGGUUGCCCAAAAACACAUUAUUUAGUGAUGAAAGCACUGAAAUUCCUCAUUUUAUCCAGGAAAGUUGAAAUCCCAGGCAGGUUCUCUCUGCCACCUCCAGCAAUUCCCU
rnacentral:lncRNA from 1 species